UGGGCUGUUUGUUCCUGGUAAAUGUCCCUGAUUCCGUCCUGAAGCUUUGGCCCAAUCAGGAGCCCGAGCUGUGCGCUUCUUAUCUCCUGAGGCUGCAGCAAGAUCAGGGAAGCAAACCUUUGCAAAUGAGACAUGUACCGUGUAAAAUGGAAAUGCUUUCCUUGGCAGUGAGUUAAGCAUUUUCACGAUAACAAUUUGGAAUCCUAGAAAAAUAACUGGAUUUUGAAAUGGAAAAUGAGCUCUGCACUUUGCUACUUUUGUGACCCCACAUCCUCAUCUCCAAAUGCGGAUGUUACACCAAGCAAGAAGGUUUUUUGGGAAAACAGUAACAUGAAGAACAUGGAUAAAGUUAAUCUACAACCUGAGACCAUUACAGCCAGGAAAUGGAG
rnacentral:lncRNA from 1 species